UACGUAGGCAGCGAGCGUUGUUCGGAAUUACUGGGACGUAAAGAGUGUGUAGGCGGUGCUCUAAGUCUGUCGUGAAAUCUCCCGGCUUAACUGGGAGGGUGCGGCGGAAACUGGUGUGCUCGAGGGUGGGAGAGGUAAGCGGAAUUCCUGGUGUAGCGGUGAAAUGCGUAGAUAUCAGGAGGAACACCUGCGGUGUAGACAGCUUACUGGACCACUUCUGACGCUGAGACACGAAAGCGUGGGUAGCAAACAGG
rnacentral:rRNA from 1 species